rnacentral:rRNA from 1 species
UGCCAGCAGCCGCGGUAAUACGGAGGGUGCAAGCGUUGUUCGGAAUCACUGGGCGUAAAGCGCGUGUAGGCGGCCAUGCAAGUCGGGUGUGAAAUCCCGGGGCUCAACCCCGGAACUGCACCCGAAACUGCAUGGCUCGAGUCCCGGAGGGGGUGGCGGAAUUUCCGGUGUAGAGGUGUAAUGCAUAGAUAUGUCAUAGAACACCAAUUGCGAAGGCAGCUAGCUAGGCUUUAAUUGACGCUGAGGCACGAAAGCGUGGGGAGCGAACAGGAUUAGAUA